CCCUUAGAUGUUCUGGGCCGCACGCGCGCUACACUGAUGCAUUCAACGAGUUUCUUCCUGGUCCGAGAGGAAUGGGUAACCUUUUGAAAGUGCAUCGUGAUAGGGAUAGACUAUUGCAAUUAUUGGUCUUCAACGAGGAAUUCCUAGUAGACGUAGUUCAUCAGACUGCAUCGAUUACGUCCCUGCCCUUUGUACACACCGCCCGUCGCUCCUACCGAUUGAAUGUUCCGGUGAGCUCUUCGGACUGCGCGGUCUGCAGUUUCUGCGUUCCGUGCGGAAAGUUGUGCAAACCUUAACAUUUAGAGGAAGGAGAAGUCGUAACA
rnacentral:rRNA from 1 species